GGGAGGGUGUGACUAGUGACAGAGUGAGGGAGGGAAGGGGUGACUAGUGAGAGUGAGGGAGGUGGUGAUUAGUGACAGAGGGAGGAAUGGGGUGACUAUCACUGUGUCACCCCCUUCCUCACUCUGUCACUAGUCACCCUCUCCCUCCCUCACUCUGUCACUAGUCACCCUCUCCCUCCCUCACUCGGUCACUAUUCACCCCCUCUCUCACUCUGUCACCAGUCAUUCCCUCACUCUGUCACCAGUCAUCUCUUCCUUCCC